CUCGGAGUCUUGGCGCUCCCGGCCGCGCGUUUCGCCCUCACCCGCCCAAUUGUUACCGCCUCGGCCCCCUCCCCCUUCCGGGUACCUGGAAACCUCGGGCCCGGGAGCCAAUUCCUGCCUGGGACUUGGGCCCGGGCGGCCGCGGGAAAGCCAAGGAUACUGCAUUAUAUUUAGUGUUCAUGUCUCCUUAGGCUCCUCUUGGCCAUGAUAUUUCUCAUACUUUCCCGGUUUUUGCUGGCCCCCAUGGUUUUGAGGAAUAACUGAGACCUGUCUAAUAAGAUGAUGCUACGGCCGAUGUCACAAAGAUUGCUGCCUGUGUUCUUCUCUAGGACCAGAAGAGGAAGAGACACCAGGAGUAUGCAUGCACAGACAAAAGACCAUGCAAGGACACAAAGAAGGCAGCUAUCUGAAAGCCAAGGAGCGAGGUCUUUCCAGAAACCAAUCCUGCUGGGGCUGAUCUUGGAUUUCCGGUCUCCAGAACUGUGAGAAAAUAAUCUCCUGUUGUGUAAGCCACCCUGCCUGUGGUAUUUUUUUAUGGCAGCCUGAGCAGAUGACUACAGCAUCUGUUGGCAUUCUUGUUGUUUUUUUUUUAAUUACUGUAAUGUUACAGGGUCACUGCUUGUACCUGUUCUGUCUCACAAGCGUGCACAGUUAAGAGUUCUAUCAGCACAUAACAUGAGUCUCUGAUUUCCAGCUCCUAAUGUCUCUUUUGUGCUGCCUGUUACCUUAUUCCCAAGCCAAUUCUCUAUAUUUUAGUUUUUUAUUUUCUACACCACUUCAAGAAAUCAGUUUCUGCAAGAUGAAUCUCAAACCUUUGGAAGAUUAACACAAAGCAAGUUUAUUUUUCAGGUAAUGAUAACAUGUGGGUGUUCCUGGUUGAUGGGUGGCUGUCCUCCAUACGGAGAAUAGGGACGCACCUUCUUUCAUCAUCUAUGCUCCACCAUAUUCUGGGCUUGCACUGUCCAACAUGGUGCCACGUGUGCUACUGAGUACUUGAAAAAGGGCUAGCAGCACUUGAAAUGUGCAAUAAGAGUAAAACACAUACUGGAUUUUGAAAAAAAGAAGAGUAUCUCAUUGAUAUUUUUUGUAUCUUAGAUACAAUGUUGAAAUAAUUUUUGGAAAUACUGGGUUCAAAGAUGCAUUAUUAAAAUGAAUUUCACCCGUUUUUUCCCCAAACACAUAGUAAUGUGGCUGUUGGAGAAUUAAAAAUAACGUGGUUCACAUUAUAUUUCUCUUGGACAACCGCUCUGAAGCCUCUGGGUCUUCUGCUUCAGUUGGC